rnacentral:misc_RNA from 1 species
GCAAACUUGGUCAUUUAGAGGAAGUAAAAGUCGUAACAAGGUCUCCGUUGGUGAACCAGCGGAGGGAUCAUUACCGAGUUUACAACUCCCAAACCCAUGUGAACAUACCUAUAGUUGCUUCGGCGGUUCCGUCCCGGGCGCCCUCACAGGUGUCCCGGAGCCAGGCGGCCGCCGGAGGACCAAAACACUCUGUUUCCCAUAGCGGUAUCUUCUGAGUGGCGAAAGCAAACAAAUAAAUCAAAACUUUCAACAACGGAUCUCUUGGUUCUGGCAUCGAUGAAGAACGCAGC